rnacentral:rRNA from 1 species
ACGUUCCCGGGCCUUGUACACACCGCCCGUCACACCAUGGGAGUGGGCUGCACCAGAAGUAGAUAGCUUAACCUUCGGGAGGGCGUUUACCACGGUGUGGUUCAUGACUGGGGUGAAGUCGUAACAAGGUAGCCCUAGGGGAACCUGGGGCUGGAUCACCUCCUUACUGA